AUUGAACGCUGGCGGCAGGCUUAACACAUGCAAGUCGAGCGAGCGGCGGACGGGUGAGUAAUGUCUGGGAAACUGCCUGAUGGAGGGGGAUAACUACUGGAAACGGUGGCUAAUACCGCAUACCAUCAGAUGGGCCCAGAUGGGAUUAGCUAGUAGGUGGGGUAAAGGCUCACCUAGGCGACGAUCCCUAGCUGGUCUGAGAGGAUGACCUGCCACACUGGAAAUGAGACACGGGCCCGACUCCUACGGGAGGCAGCAGUGGGGAAUAUUGGACAAUGGGCGCAAGCCUUAUGCAGCCAUGCCGGGUGUUUGAAGAAGGCCUUCGGGUUGUAAAGCACUUUCAGCGAGGAGGCGGUACUCGCAGAAGAAGCACCGGCUAACUCCGUGCCAGCAGCCGCGGUAAUUC
rnacentral:rRNA from 1 species